GUGUUGUCUCCUCUCCUCUGAGUGUUACUGUCCAGUUUUAUGGGUUGUCUCAUAUUAAGUGCUGUUGGCCACAUUGCACAGAAAGUCAGACCAAGCAGGGAGAGGUUGCUUGGGCCAGGCGGAAGAAGCCCGCUUUGUUGACGCCAACCAUGGAGCUCUCAUCCCCCAACCAGGAGCCCUUCCGGGGGCAGAGCUCUGAAGGAGUGGAGGGUGACCUCUGGAAGAACGCCCAUGAGAAAACCGGGAACCAGACCCUCUUCAGAGAAUGUUUGAGAGGUGAGGUAGGGGAUGAGAACGCUUCCAGUAGAUGCUCAGCAGCUCUAAGUGAUGACGCAACCUGGAGAGGAAGCUUUAAGGGGUUUGGAAGCUCCCUUCUCACCAUCUCAGGAGAGCCAGACUGCCACGCCUCGAGGUGAGGUUGGGGGGUCUCGAAACUUCAUGUGUCUUCUCUUCUCCUGGCUGAGCCUCAAAAUCCCUUUUUGAAAUGCAACUGCAGAAGGAAAUGCUCAAGCUGUUUUGAGCCCUUUACUGUUUGGUGCAGAUGGGGUGACUAGAAGGACUGGGAGCAGGUUGUGAGGGGGCCUGGUGAGGACUGAGGGUGAGCUGCAGGCGUCCAGGAGCCCCCAGGGUCAAGGAAGGAAGAGAGUGGAGCCUGAGGAGACAGACCAUCUCUGCGACUUAGCUGGGGGAAGACCCCACAUUCAUAGAAAAAAAAACCCAAAUGCAUUUUAAUGUAUGCUGAAGUCAAGAGGACAGCAAACUCACUUAGAGAAGGACCCAGUGGAGGAGAUUGGAAGUGGAUAGUUCCAGUUAACAAGAACCUCUCUUUUUAAGUGAAACAAAGAACUUGAUGACUAUUUCCCUGAGGCUGAAGCACGGUCACCCACGUGGAAAGCUGUUAAGGGUGGAUGUAAGUAUAGUAUCUAGCUAGCUGGGGAUUGGCGUCAGAAGAUGAAAACUGUCUGUUUGUGGCAUGUGGCUGGAAAUGGCAUCUCCAAGUGACUCCUAAAACAGAAGUCCAGGUUCCAUGGACCAGAGGCCCUGGUGGGAUCGGGCCUGUCUGGGUCAGCUGAGACCGCCUCUCCUCCACAAUGGUGAUAUCUUAGAGCUCUCCUUGCCCUGACCUUAGGUCAGACAGCAGGUAAUUUGGAAGUAACUAUAACCCUAAGCUCUGCUAUGUUAAGCUUGGAGGAGGACCAAGAAUAGUCAUGAGGAAUCAGUGAGGUGUGAGGAGCCAGAGCCUGGGAACCAGCCAGUCAAUAAGCUGGAUGGGGAAGUGUGGGGAUACGGAAUUCUGGGAGGCUUGCUUCUGUCACUCGACUUCAAAAUGAGGGAAAAUGGCGCGCAGAUGUUUAUAGCAGCUUUAUUCAUAACCACCAAAACUUGGAAGCAACCAAGAUGUCCUUCAGCAGGUGAGUGGAUAAAUAAACUGUAGUACAUCCAGACAAUAGAAUAUUACUUAGCGAUAAAAAGAAAUGAACUACCAAGCCACAAAAAGAUACAGAGGCAUCUUAAAUGCUUAUUACUAAGUGAAAGAAGUCAAUCUGAAUGAGUCCAACUAUAAGCCAAUCUGUAUGAUUCCAACUACGUGACAUUCUGGACAAGCCAAAACUAUGGAGAUAGUAAAAAAUCAGUGAGUGCCAGGGGCUAGAGAGGAGGGAGCGGGAGGAGGUGAUGAGUGGACCCUAAUGUAAACUAUGGACUUUAGUUAAUAAUAAUGUAUUCGUAUUAGCUCAUAGGUUGUAAGAAAUGUACCAACACCAAUGCAAGAUGUUAAUAAGAGCGGAAACUGUGGAGGAAGGAGGAAGAAAUGAUUUCUGGAGACAUAAAAACAGCUUGCUAAUAGGUAGGAAAAGAUAGAGCCUGAAAUAGUAACACUUGGUUACUGGGUAACGCUGAGUAGCCAUCAUUGCAACGGUGCCCUCUCCCAAGCUCGGGAGUCCACAUGGUGCGACUCUGCUCUCACAGCAGAAAUCCAUCCUCCUUAAACAAUACUUCUCAGAGCUUCCAAAGACUGAAGAACGAAUGGUCAAAACACACGCUGACGGUGAGGAGGGCCAUCUGCAGAGAAUGGAUGGAGAGCUGUUGAACCACAAAAAUGAGAUUCUGGGCUCAGUGUUGUGAGAAUGGUCCAAUCAAAGAUUCCUGGCAAGUCACUCAGCCACAUCAAUGCUUGUCUUUGAACAUCUUCACCUCUAGUGUCUUAGGGGUUUGCUUUCCAUUCUCAGUGUAGAUGUUUCUCCUGGACUCUUCUCCACAAAUGUCACAGAGAAUGUCUCUUUUUUUGUUUAGAGAAAACCCAAUCUUACUUCUGGUCUGUAACUUUAGAAUCUUCCAAAAUUCUGGACAGUCUUCCUCCUGUGGUCUCACAACCACAGAGGGCUCAAGCUGGACUCUGGCUCUCAUCUUUGCAGCCACCCUGGCUCCUGUCCUCACCUAGGAUUAUCUUCCCCCACGUGCAAGUCUGGCCCAAGGUAGACCAACUUUCCUCCUACCCUCGCUGUGACACUUCAUCUCUGUGGCCCUGUCCCCAUCAAUCCAGUGCUCUUGUGCUCAGCAAUAAGACUUCAGGGAUAUAUGCCAUUUACAUAGAGCGCUCUCCCUGAUUCAGCUCUACAAAUUAAUUCAUCUGGCCUACAAAAUCAGGCUCUGCAGAAUCUGCAAAGAAAAAGAAUAGCCCUUUUUUGGGAACCUGGUUCUGAAGCCAAGAUGUAUGUAAAUUAAAUGAAUAGAGAACAAUUCCGAGCCAAGAUAAUAAACAGGGGCUUGGUGGUGAGAUACUGGCUGUGUGUGUGAGUGCCAAGAGAGUUCAAAGAAGGGAAUAGAUACUUGUGGGAAGGCCUUGUCAGUGACGACUUUUGGGAAAAACCAAUGUGUAAAAUCUAAUAGAAAACUUGUUUGGUCUACUGUACACACUUUCCGUGGUCCAGCAAAGUGAUUAAAAACAGUCAUGGUUUGAGUCUUCAGGAGACAAUAUGAUAAAAUAGUAAAACCAAUUGAGAAAAAAAAAAAAAAACAAGGAGAAAGUAAAGUAAUAGCAAAACAUUUCACCAACUAUCUAUUUGUUUCAAUUGAGUUAUUCAGUAUACUUUCCCCACGUUCUCUGAGUAUGAAGCUUUAAACCAGGCGAUUUCAGAGCACCUCUUCUGUUGUCCUUUCCUGCUCCUUUUGUCUUGCCUUAACUCCUGGUGGAGUUGGAAUACGAAAUUAACAGGAUAAAAAUAAAAGCAGGAAUAGGAAAGUAAAGUUACCAAACGUAAUAACUAAGGGAGUCUCAAGUAAGCUGUUGUAAGUGGCGCAGUUCUCAGGGCAGAUGUGGAGAAGUCAGAGGGAGGAAACAGGAAGAGGAAGAACCAUACCAACUAUGUGUUAAAACAAGUCACUGUCAACUCUGCAAAUGAACCGGUCAUCAGGAAGCUGAGGCCCGGCCAUAACCUCCGAAGGCUGAGAAACGACCAUGGACUCAGAACCCUGUUUAUGUCGUUAAUAUUCUCUCUUUGGAAAAGGAGGCUAAUAAUACCUCAUAGAGUAUUGUGAUGAUUAGAUAAUUGACACAUGUAAAGCACUUAGAACAGUGGCACAUAGUAAGUACUACAGGAUUGACUUUCAUUCUUCAUAUGUGAUAAAUACACGCAAAAGGUUAAGAAAGCAAACAAAAACCCAGUCCCUCUUAACAUUUGGUUGGUAUAUUAUUUUUAAGUAACCACAUAUUUGCUCUUUCCAAAAUAAAUGAUAACUAAGAUGGAAAAGAGACAGGUUAAAUGAAUGUUGGUCUGGGUUUAAUAACAAAUCCAUGUUUUUGUUCGGAUGAGGAAAUAAACCUUAAUAAUUACACUAAAAUGACCUUUGAUUGCCUGAUAUUAAGAUGUCCAAAACAGGCAAAUGUUCGACCUCUUUAAAAACACCAUAUUUUUUUCCUGAUGAAAGACUGGUUUAAGGAGAUAAACCAAUGUCACUAGAAAUAGGGGCUUGUUCCAUUAGAAAAACCUUCUUCCAACAUUGGAGCCAAUGUCCGAAUCUGCUGAAGAGUGAGUUGUUCAGAUCCUUGAGUUUCCCUGGGGCCCCGACAAGAGUCCUUGAGUCACACUAAGGCUCUCAGCUUGAUUUGAAUGGAUGUCCUUGCCAUAUAAUGGCCCCUGCUGGUCUGGCCACAUGCUGGAAGAUGCGUGAGAGAGAAGCAUUCCCUGAUGUACUCCUCCAAGACCGUGCGCUCUGUGGGGGAAAGGAAGAGUUGGCUGGAGAAUCCGCCAUCCUGACUAUUCAGAGGGGAACAUCCCCACGAUGGCCUCAUUGAAUUCUGCUUAUUCCCCUCCAGGAAACUGAAAAGUGGGGACACACACUAUCGUAGCUGCUGAAUGACAUCUCUUUCUAUUCCUCCAGCUCUCAACCUCUGUGAGUCUAAUGGGUUGUCCUGGUCCUCGGUUCCUCAUGGUGACCUUAGCAAGGGAGACCCUUCACAUCAUAUUCUAACCCUCGCUCUUCUUUAAAAAGACACUUCAGUUCCCCACAGCGACUUUUUCUCAAAGUACAGGAACUCUGCUUAUCCGAUUUCCUAGAGAUAUUCCUCAGGAAUAUUCCAGAGGCAAAUCUCCUGUUAAAUGGUGCUGGACAAGCGAACAGUAACCCAGAGAGUAGAGUCAGAGCUACGGCAUGGAGAAAAUUCAUCUCUGCAGAAGUUCAUGAGCCACGUGAGGUGAGGCGCAACUUUAGGGAAAAGAAGUCUGCUAAGAAAAAUGUACAGAGAAUUUAGGCCAAAUAUCACAAAGCCAAAAUUAAUUUUAAACUUUUUUUGUGUGUGAAAGUUGAAUGUUUAUGCAAAUAUCGUUUUUGAACUGAAGAACACACGCAGAAAGGCAAGGCUAGUAAUAACAGAAAAGAAAAGUCGAAGCAAUAAGUUUAUAGGUACCUGAUAAACAAUUCUGGUUUUGAAAAACAACUUGGAAUUCUUAAAAGUUAUGUCAACUUUUACAGCUUCAUGUGAUAUUCAUAGCAGAGGUAACUGCUUUUAUUUUCAAGUAUUUUUACCAUUAAUGACUACAUUCAUACAAAGGUAUGAAUUUUUAAAUUAUAAGAAACCCUUGGAAGAUAAUUUACUGUAGGUCUGUGGUGAAUCACGCUUCAAGGUGUGAAAAUGGUGUAUUUUUUCCAAUUUUUCUAUUUGGGCUAAACAAUUUUAGCACACAAACAUCAUCAUUAAUAGAAGGGAAAAAAUAAACGUUCCCUCCUAAAAAAGCAUGAGCCUGCUCAAUAAAUAAGAUCUGUUGUAAAAUUAAAAACCUGAUUUCAAGUCUGAGGAUGAAGUUGUAAAAAGUUGGCCACUUUUGAUUCUUAAGUGGGCCUUUGUAGCUGUUUUCUGAACCCCUGGAAUAAAGAGGGUUGAUUUGCGAUGGAAUCUCUGGAGCCUGCAGUCAUAUAUUACAAUAUGUUGUAAAUCCAGAGGGUACAAUAUAGAUUUCACAGGGGGCCCUGGGGUUAAUUGAAAUUCCAUCUGUUUCUUCUCUGUGGCAAACUUAGUAUCCUGGGACAUUAGCUCAGGAUAAGAUAUGCGAUUUCCAAUUUUUUAUUUUUAGGCUAAAGCAGAAGUUUGCCUAAAUCUGCUCUUCCCUACUUUCUACCUCCUACCUUCUAUUAGAAAAAAAAAGUUUACAAGACAGCUUUUAUUUUCCCCACAGCUGCCCCCGAGGCAGCCCUCCCCUCCUCCCAGUGCAUGCCGGGCAAUGCCAUGUAUUCUUAGGCUCCCAAUGGCCCCCAUUACUGUCAAUUAGUUACGGAAUGCUACAGGGAUUCAUGCCUGACAGCUCGGGCAAAGGCAGGAGAAAUGGGCUCAGUAGGGAGCGAGGGGCCUGAUUCUUUUUUGUGCACAAGAAAUACCUUUCUCAGCAAGGCUUUUAAUGGCCUUCCCUUCUUUCUUUCCCUCUGCCCUAGCGCCGCGCCCCCCACCAUCCCAGCACACAUCAUAUACACAUACGCUCCUACAUUCACACACCGACGUGUUUGUGUGACUAUCGCACAGGACUGUGAGAACUCUGAGAGCAGGAGCCUCUGAAGUGGCCUUGUAACCUCUGCCAAUUACAGAGCUUUAAAAUUCCAACUUCUAUCUUUGCUCUAAUCUGAUUCCUCACUUCCUCUCCUCAGAAGGUUUCUUGUUACUAAGUGCCUUUUUCGCCUCUGGCUUAUUAGCGUAUUUUCCUUCUGGAGCUCUCUUCCCUCCAAAGAACAAAUGCCCUCUCUCUUUGGCCGCAGGCCCUGGGGAGGAAGCCCACUGCACGGUGCUGGCUGGGGCUGGGGCAGUGGCUUGUUGUUGGCAUCCCAUACGAUUCCCAUGUCCUUCUGACUUCUUUCUCUACCUCUUGCCUUCCUCUCCUCUACUUUCCCGCAUCGAGUCCUCUUCUUCCUCCUAUCUGUGCCUAGACUAUUCCACUUACUCUGCAGACUUGAGGCCAGGGAUUUUGUUUUAUUUGUUUUCGUUCUCUCUCUCUCUCUCUCUCCUUCCUUCCCCACGCCAAAUGUUUAUCAUAACAGGACAAAAGACUUUGUCUUGUUCACCAACAUAGCUGUACUCCAUAGAAUAGCACCUGGCACAAGUAGAAACUCAAUAAUAUUUGUUGCAAAUGGAUGCCUGAAUAAAGAAACUAAUGCCAUUGGUGGUUCUCAGGGUUAAGGAGAACCCAGUUCACACCAAAAUGGUUUGCCUGUUCUUUAUCUGCUGUCUUUGCUCUUUUAUAUGAGUAGCAAUUUUUUCUUACUGUUCAAAAUGAAGAUAUACUUAGGAAAAGCCUUGUAGGAAAAGAACAGAUCCCGAUAGGAAAUAACAACUACAAGGCUUAAAGUGCUUCCAUUUCUCCACAUGGCUUUGAGGAACAUGACAGAGUAAAGAUGGCAGAAGAUGACCACUAGAGGAAAACACUCUCUGGGGCAACACGCCUGGGUUAUACGUGGUUCCAGUCCCUUCCUCUCCAGGGGCCUGGCCUGGUGUGGGGUGUUGAGAGGAGUGAAUGACUGGAGGAAGACAGUCCAGCCUGCCUAAUGCAGCCAUCUCUAGAAGGGUGAGGGGAAGGCCCAGGAAGAGGGCAACAGGACAGAAACAAGUGAGGGCCAGAGGGUGGAGUGCACACCUUGGAGGGAUUUCCUGAGCCGAGAGUUAGGCUGCAGGCCUCUCUUUCAGGGCUUGUAUAGUCUUGGGCAUUAUUAUUGGGUGGACACUGCUCAGAGCAGGACUCUGGUCCACAAAAUGCAGGUAUCUUAUAUCAUCACCCAUCACUGUGCACAUAUUGCUUUAAGAUUCGUGCAGAAUCGUCAAGCUUCACAUUCAUGCCACCUGAGAUGGAUUUCCAGCGCUGUCUGGUUCCCAAAUCUGUUUUAUUUCAGUGCUUUUCAAACUUUAAUGUGAAGUGAAUCACCUAACGGUCUCAUGAAAAUGCUGAUUCUGAGGAGCGUCCUGAGAUUCUGCGUUUCUAACAAGCUCCCAGGUGAUGGCGCUGUUGCUGGUCCACGGACAAUGAGUCGCAAGACACUAUUUCACCAUCACGGCGAGAACUGGAGAGAGCUUUGUGAAGAGGGAUCCACGCUAACCUGAAUUAAAGAAGCAAAAGUCUCAUUAAUAAAGAUUUUGAUCCCUAAGAUAAGAAAAAAAGACAUUUAUAUCUAGAAUCUCAUAUCUUUCCUUUUUGGUAAGUGAGUGUAGGAGGUACUUGGAAAUAGUCAAUUAACUCAUAAUUUAGAUAUGCUAAAGUUGUUUGCCCAGUGUAAAUUUCAUUUUUUUCUAUACAUUUGAAUCAGAUUCUAUUACAAAAUUUAAUUUUUUUUUUUUUUUUUGCUUUUAACAGUGGAGUUACUUUAGUGUGAAGAAAGAAAUUAGCCAUUGUAUGAUAAGUGAGGUUAUUUGGAAGAGAAUAUGACUAGCUGUCUACCUUGCUUCUUUCCUAUCUGCUGAAGAGGCAAAAAAAAAAAAAAAAAAAAAAAAAAAGAGGUACACACAGUUCCAUGGGCAGCCAAUAAAUAAGAUUGUGUUUGGGAAGAGGUACAACAGAAUCCCCCACUGCACACAGUUGCUCCUACUCUAGGUGUCUGCUGUCACAAACACAGAGGCUGACGACUCGAUUUACUGUGGUAACUUGUAUUUAUAAAUCCACGGAAACUCAGAAGACAACAGCCAGCAUUUACUAAGUCUGAGCUAGGCGCCAGUUGGGGGUCCCGAUCCAAAUGGAGCAAACAAUCUGGUCAGGAAGAUAACAUAAGGAAAAUUAAGCAUUAAAUUAAAACGUAAACUGUAAUUUUACAUAAUUUCACAAACUGCCAGGAGUUUACGGGAAUUAAACGGCGUUUUUAUGGGAAGAAGACAUUAACUUAGAUGGAGAAGGUCAAGGAAGGUUUUCUGAAAGGCAGGAUUUGAAUUGGAAUUUGAAGAAAGGUUAGGUGAGGAGAGAUGGGAACAAGAUGGAUGAGUGUAUCAGGACGGACAAAACAGUUGUGUGCAUACAAGAGAACAUAAGUGUUUGGGAGCUUAUGAGCAGAACCGUUUGCUGGAGUGAUUUAUUUAUUUAACGGAAACAUGGUAGAGGGAGAAAUGGUGGGAAAACAAAGUCGGGAUUAGAUUAAGAAAGGUCUGAAUGUUAGGCUAAGAAGAUUGGACUUGAUUCUGUAAAUAAUAAUAAUAAUAAUAGGGGACCAUUGGAUGUUUUGAGUAGAAGAGUGCAUUUUAACAGAAGUAUUUUAAUAGACUAAUUUCAAUAGUCCAAGUGCAAGGGAUAAGGGACAGAAUUAGGACUGUGGUGAAGGGAAUUGAAUAUGUGAGCUAGAGGGUUGAGCUAAAGGAAUCAGAAACUUUAAUGAUAUUAUAGUUAAUGGGUGGGCAGUAACCUUGAGGCUUGAGGUUAGUAGAAUAGAAAAUGAACAGUUUGGGGGGAAAUAAAUUAAAUUUGAGAUAUUUUAAGUUUUAAGUAAUAGUAGGACGGACACCUGGAAGAAUCCAGUAGACAACUGGAAGUGUGACAGUGUGACCCUGCCUAGAGGUAGUCAUGCCUGGAGCCUUGGGUGUGAAAGACUCUGCUAGGGAACCGCGCAGAGACAGAACCUUGGGCAGUGCCCCUUUGGGCAGCCUGGGUGGGGAAAGAGCAGUAAGAAGGAAGAGGAACCCAGAGUGUGACAGCCUUGAAGGGAAGAGGGAGCGUCAGGCCAGGGGCUGCGGCCACAGCAUUGAACGCUGCAGAGAAACCAGACCAUCUGAUCAAGGGAAGGUUCUUCAAGGCUCCUGGCACCUUUCCCAGCGUGGACAACAUGGAGGGAGGGGUGGAAACCAGGUGACUGACGAGACUGAGGGGUGAGCAAGUCACAACAAAGGUAGAAUUUGUGGACAUUUCCUUAGACAAAAGAAAAAAUAGGAUGGAAACUGAAGGAGAAAGGAAGAGCAAGUGCUUUUGUUGAUUUUCAAUUUAUUAUAGUGGCGACACAGCUUUCUUUGUUUUUUGAUUAAGGGGGAAAAAUGAGAGAAAAAUUGAUGGUAUCUAAAAACUGCAGACGGACGGGAAUUUGAGUUGUUAAAAUCCUGAAGGAGUCAGGCCCUCUGGGAAAGGGGUGAGCCUUGGAAAUGAGAAAGGAAAACCCCCCACACCAAAAACAACCCAGAACACCACUGCCUCCACAUAUCUGGAAGAAGAGGGAUGCAGAGAUGCAGUACUCAGGCUCCUGGGGGUCCCACCAGCUCAAUAAAGAAGCAGGUGAGACAGUUUUCAAGCUCUGGGCCUGGAGGUGAAGUGGAAGAAUGGAGAAUGUUGGGACAGGCCAUUGAAUCAGGAAAUUGGCAAAAGGUGAAUAAAGAGCAUUGCUAAACAACAGUUGAGAUGAGCAUGAAUACACCAAGUAAGCACAAACACACACCUAAGGACAGUGGUCGUGACUCAGGGAUGUGGAACCAGCGCAAGAGACUGAGGGACAUGAGGUGAGCGCCAGGAUGCAAGUGCUGAGGGCAACACCCAGGUGGCUGGCAUCAAGUCCACCUAGGGUUAAUACAACUCAAGUGGGAUGAUCCAGACACCAUAGCAUAUCAACAAGAGGAAGAUGAUUAAGAAUGGCGAACAAAAACAACUGAGAGACUAUUUCAACUCUGAGCAUCCCAAUUUAAAAGGCACUUGUUGGGGAUCAAGCAAAGGGCAAUAACGUACUGAGCACCAUGUGCUCAGCACUGGGCUUGGGCAUGUUGGGGAUACACAGAGGCAUGAGGCAGUGUUCCUGCCCUCAGGGAGCUUUUGUGUAGUUGGAGAGAGGACACAGGCAUCUCACAUCCUCUGAGCACAUCCACAUUGUGCAGUAGAGACAGGACUUUAAAGACGGUGAAGAAGAGCUGGUUGGAGCAGAGCCGUUGAGAAGUGGCCAGGGUGGCAGAACAGGAGUCGUCCUCUCUCCUACCUUCUUCACAUCUUCUCUUCUAUUCACAUCCAAGCCACAUAGCUGCACCUCCAAGAGAUUGGAAAUGGAGACAAGAAAAGGGUAACUGUGACUUUCUUAUCAUGUGAGAGAGCCCUGAAAGCUUCACUCCCCUCCCUGCUCAGAAAGAUUUGAAGGCAACACUCAUCUUCCUUCUGUGCCCCAUGUAGGGCAUUUCGCUCAUCAGGGCAAGCUGUGUUGAGAGGAAGAAAUGAGAUCUGUGAGAGGUGAGAAGUCUGGCAUCUUUUUUUAUAAAAAAAAUUUAUUUAUUUGUUUCCCCUCCCCUGUUAUAUUGAGAUACAAUUGACAUAUAACACUGUAUAAGUUUAAAGUGUACAACAUAAUGAUUUGACAUAAGUAUUUAUUGUAAAAUGAUUGCCAGAAGAUUAAACAUUCAUCACCCCACAUAGUUACAAUUUCUUUUGCCCCUUGUGAUGAGAACGUUUAAGAUCUACUCUCUUAGCAACUUUCAAAUAUACAAUACAAUAUUGUUAAAUACUGACAUCACGGAGUCCUUGAUGAGCAGGAAGCAGCCGGGAGCCACGCCGCAGCUCACAGCCACUGAAAGCACGGCUGCCCUUGGAGCAUUCCUAUGGGCUGUGGGGAGGUCUGCUCCUUGAGCGCUCCCUCACUGCUAUCCCCACUCCUGGGGUCUGCCCUGACUUCAGAGCAUGCUGUUCAGAUCAUUCAAGCCUGGGGAGGAACUCUGGACCUGCCACUUACCAGCUAUGUGACCUUGGGCAACUUGCUUAAGACAACUGAGUCUCAUUUCCCCCUCCAAUGGGGUAAUAAUUCUUGUAGGAAAAGUGUGUGGCACUAAGCAACUGC
rnacentral:lncRNA from 1 species